rnacentral:tRNA from 1 species
UCCGCAGUAACUCAGUGGUAGAGCUAUCGGCUGUUAACCGAUCGGUCGUAGGUUCGAGUCCUACCUGCGGAG